UACGAAGGGGCUAGCGUUGCUCGGAAUCACUGGGCGUAAAGGGUGCGUAGGCGGGUCUUUAAGUCAGGGGUGAAAUCCUGGAGCUCAACUCCAGAACUGCCUUGAUACUGAAGAUCUUGAGUUCGGGAGAGGUGAGUGGAACUGCGAGUGUAGAGGUGAAAUUCGUAGAGUAUUCGCAAGAACACCAGUGGCGAAGGCGGCUCACUGGCCCGAUACUGACGCUGAGGCACGAAAGCGUGGGGAGC
rnacentral:rRNA from 1 species